rnacentral:lncRNA from 10 species
GUUUUUCUUUUUCUUCCUUUUAUAAUUAAGUAUUUUUUUAAGGAAAGAGACUUUGAGGUUAUGCAAAUAUUUCACUUCUCACCAAACUUUCAGUGAAGGAGAUAUAUUUGAGCAAAGAAUCCUUUCUGGCAUUCUCAGAUGCAGUUUUACCCUUAGACUUAGACAGGAGGGACUCCUUGCUAUGGGUGAGCCCUUAAUUUAAAGGUACCUCAUCUCCUUUUCCCUUCCCUUCCCUUCCCUUCCCUUCCCUUCCCUUCCCUUCGCUUCCCUUCCCUUCCUUUCCUUUCCCUUCCCUUCCUUUCCCUUCCCUUCCCUUCCCUUCCUUUCCCUUCCCUUACCCAUCCUUUCCCUUCCCUUCCUCUCCCCUUACCCUUCCUUUCCCUUCCCUUCCUCUCUCAUACACACACAGAACUUCUUAAUGUAGGUCCCAGUUAUCAAUUUUUAUUUUCAUUGCACACACACACACACACACACACACACACACUAUUAGUAUAUAUGAGUACAUCUGUCAUUUAUGAUCCAGUGCUCAGCUUUGCUACAGGGAGAGUUGUAAUCCUAAACGUCAACUGCCAUGACUAGCACCUCUCAGGUCUCAGAGAACCACUUCACAACUUCUCUUGCCCAAGGUUCCUGAAGCAAAAGAUGACUGAAUCUCAACGUCACUGAACCUGGAGCUUUGUGGAUUGUGCUGCUGCCUACAUCAGGGACACUGCUCCACGGUACGGGAGGGCUUAAGUGACAGAAGUAAACUUUGGUAAUGUCAUCAGUGACACCGACUGACAAUUGAUCAGAUCAAUGUGACAUGAGCUCGGCUUCCGUUCCAAGAUGGCAGAAUAGGAACAGCUCUGGUCUGCAGCUCCCAGCGUGAUCGAUGCAGAAGAUGGGUGAUUUCCGCGUUUCCAACUGAGGUACCUGGUUCAUCUCACUGGGACUGGUCAGAAAGUGGGUGCAGCCCACGGAGGAUGAGCGGAAGCAGGGUGGGGCAUUGCCUCACCUGGGAAGCGCAAGGGGUCAGGGGAUUUCCCUUUCCUAGCUAAGGGAAGCCAUGAGAGACUUUACUGGGAAAAUCGGGACACUGCCACCUAAACACCGAGCUUUUCCAAUGGUCUUAGCAUAUGGCACACCAGGAGAUUAUAUCCCACGCCUGGCUCAGCAGGUCCCACACCCAUGGUGCCUUGCUCACUGCUAGUCUGAGAUCAAACUGCUUGACUGCAAGCCUGGCUGGGGAAAGAGCAUCUGCCAUUGCUGAGGUUUGAGUAGGUAAACAAAGCAGCCAGAAAGCUCGAACUGGGUGGAACCCACUGCAGCUCAUGGAGGCCUCCCUGCCUCUGUAGACUCCACCUCUGGGGGCAGGGCAUAGCUGAACAAAAGGCAGCAGAAACUUCUGCAGACUUAAACAUCCCUGUCUGAGAUUCAAAGAGGAGCUGGUACCAUUCCUUCUGAAACUAUUCCAAUCAAUAGAAAAAGAGGGAAUCCUCCCUGACUCAUUUUAUGAGGCCAGCAUCAUCCAGAUACCAAAGCCUGGCGGAGACACAACAAAAAAAGAAUUUUAGACCAAUAUCCCUGAUGAACAUCGAUGCAAAAAUCCUCAAUAAAAUACUGGCAAACUGAAUCCAGCAGCACAUCAAAAAGCUUAUCCACCAUGAUCAAGUGGGCUUCAUCCCUGGGAUGCAAGGCUGGUUCAACAUAUGGAAAUCAAUAAACGUAAUCCAUCACAUAAACAGAACCAAAGACAAAAACCACAUGAUUAUCUCAAUAGAUGCAGAAAAGGCCUUUGACAAAAUUCAACAGCUCUUCAUGCUAAAUACUCUCAGUAAACUAGAUAUUGAUGGAACGUAUCUCAAAAUAAUAAGAGCCAUUUAUGACAAACCCACAGCCAGUAUCAUACUGAAUGGGCAAAAACGGGAAGCAUUCCCUUUGA